UACAGAGGUCCCAAGCGUUGUUCAGAAUUACUGGGCGUAAAGCGUGCGCAGGCGGUUCGUUGUGUCGGCGGGGAAAGCCCCGGGCUCAACCUGGGAAUGGCCGUUGAAACUGGCGAACUGGAGUGUGGCAGAGGGGGGUGGAAUUCCGCGUGUAGCAGUGAAAUGCGUAGAGAUGCGGAGGAACACCGAUGGCGAAGGCAGCCCCCUGGGCUGACACUGACGCUCAGGCACGAAAGCGUGGGGAGCAAACAGG
rnacentral:rRNA from 1 species